UUCAACGCGUGAAGAUGUUUGUGUGUGUUCAUGUCAAACUAGCGGCGGCGCGCGCGUUUCACUCACGACGUCAGGUAAGUUCAACCAGUUUGAUCUUGUCGCUAGAAACGAUAGCACGUUUUUAUCAUGUCGUUCAAUACAGAAGAGUUUAUUAGUGCUAUUCAGGCUAGAACUCCUAUUUGGCAAAGGAAACACAGUCAUCAUAUGAACAGAAAUGUUGUUUAGUUGAUAACGAUAAUAUUAAUUAAAUUAAAUAAUAAAGAGGAACCUUGUUUGAAUUUGAUUUUGAUUGAAAAUUAUAAAUUACUUACUAAGAAAAUCUUUUUUUUAAACUCACCUUAUAGUUACAAAUAGUCUUUCUUCGGGCUUUAUACUUUUAUGAAAAUUUGUGUCUACUUUUGAAAUAUCACUCCUUAUUGAAUCCAGUAUGUAAUCAAAACAGUUGACACUCAUCCUGGUAUAUCCAAAAAACCUUGAAGGAUGUUCUCUCAAAU